rnacentral:misc_RNA from 1 species
AAUUUUACAUGAACUGGAAAAAUUCCCUGUUCACUCGCUUGGACUUCCAUCCCUUCUUUCUGACCCUGGGGCCAAGACGCCAGAGGAGGCAUUAGUUCACAUAUUUAGUGAAGCAAGGAGAACAACUCCGUCAAUACUCUAUUUACCUCAUUUCCAUCUUUGGUGGGAGAAUGCACACGAGCAGCUCAAAGCUGUUCUCAGGACGCUGUUAGAAGAGCUCCCAUCUGACCUGCCUAUACUAUUAUUUGGGACUUCCUCAGUACCACUUUCUGAUCUACCUGAUGAGCCUUCUUCAGUAUUUUCACACCAUAGCAUCUUAUGUUUGGAUUCUCCAUCAGAUGAAGACAGAUCUCUGUUCUUUGAUCGUCUUAUAGAAGCUGCUUUGUCUAUCCAAG